rnacentral:tRNA from 1 species
UCCUCGGUAGCUCAGUUGGUAGAGCGUCCGCCUGUUAAGCGGCUGGUCGGAGGUUCGAGUCCUCCCCGAGGAG